rnacentral:rRNA from 1 species
UUUACGGAGAGUUUGAUCCUGGCUCAGGAUGAACGCUGGCGGCGUGCUUAACACAUGCAAGUCGAACGGUGAAGCAGAGCUUGCUCUGUGGAUCAGUGGCGAACGGGUGAGUAACACGUGAGCAAUCUGCCCCUGACUCUGGGAUAAGCGCUGGAAACGGCGUCUAAUACCGGAUACGAGCUGCGACCGCAUGGUCAGUAGCUGGAAAGAAUUUCGGUCAGGGAUGAGCUCGCGGCCUAUCAGCUUGUUGGUGAGGUAAUGGCUCACCAAGGCGUCGACGGGUAGCCGGCCUGAGAGGGUGACCGGCCACACUGGGACUGAGACACGGCCCAGACUCCUACGGGAGGCAGCAGUGGGGAAUAUUGCACAAUGGGCGAAAGCCUGAUGCAGCAACGCCGCGUGAGGGAUGACGGCCUUCGGGUUGUAAACCUCUUUUAGCAGGGAAGAAGCGAAAGUGACGGUACCUGCAGAAAAAGCGCCGGCUAACUACGUGCCAGCAGCCGCGGUAAUACGUAGGGCGCAAGCGUUAUCCGGAAUUAUUGGGCGUAAAGAGCUCGUAGGCGGUCUGUCGCGUCUGCUGUGAAAACCCGAGGCUCAACCUCGGGCCUGCAGUGGGUACGGGCAGACUAGAGUGCGGUAGGGGAGAUUGGAAUUCCUGGUGUAGCGGUGGAAUGCGCAGAUAUCAGGAGGAACACCGAUGGCGAAGGCAGAUCUCUGGGCCGUAACUGACGCUGAGGAGCGAAAGGGUGGGGAGCAAACAGGCUUAGAUACCCUGGUAGUCCACCCCGUAAACGUUGGGAACUAGUUGUGGGGUCCAUUCCACGGAUUCCGUGACGCAGCUAACGCAUUAAGUUCCCCGCCUGGGGAGUACGGCCGCAAGGCUAAAACUCAAAGGAAUUGACGGGGACCCGCACAAGCGGCGGAGCAUGCGGAUUAAUUCGAUGCAACGCGAAGAACCUUACCAAGGCUUGACAUAUAGAGGAAACGUCUGGAAACAGUCGCCCCGCAAGGUCUCUAUACAGGUGGUGCAUGGUUGUCGUCAGCUCGUGUCGUGAGAUGUUGGGUUAAGUCCCGCAACGAGCGCAACCCUCGUUCUAUGUUGCCAGCACGUAAUGGUGGGAACUCAUGGGAUACUGCCGGGGUCAACUCGGAGGAAGGUGGGGAUGACGUCAAAUCAUCAUGCCCCUUAUGUCUUGGGCUUCACGCAUGCUACAAUGGCCGGUACAAAGGGCUGCAAUACCGUGAGGUGGAGCGAAUCCCAAAAAGCCGGUCCCAGUUCGGAUUGAGGUCUGCAACUCGACCUCAUGAAGUCGGAGUCGCUAGUAAUCGCAGAUCAGCAACGCUGCGGUGAAUACGUUCCCGGGUCUUGUACACACCGCCCGUCAAGUCAUGAAAGUCGGUAACACCUGAAGCCGGUGGCCCAACCCUUGUGGAGGGAGCCGUCGAAGGUGGGAUCGGUAAUUAGGACUAAGUCGUAACAAGGUAGCCGUACCGGAAGGUGCGGCUGGAUCACCUCCUUUCUAAGGA